ensembl:snoRNA
AGGUUAUGAUGUUCAAACUCACGAUGGUCUGCAGAGUCCCCCGGCUGAGGGGCUGCUGACAAUGCCUCUGGCAUCCACUGAACCAGGGCA